AGCCACCUUACCACUGAGCCG
rnacentral:misc_RNA from 1 species